rnacentral:tRNA from 1 species
GCCGCCUUAGCUCAGUGGUAGAGCAAUGCUUUCGUAAAGCAUAGGUCGUCGGUUCAAAUCCGACAGGCGGCUCCA